AGAAAAAAGGCGAGCUGCUCCCCGGCUCUACCGGCUGAAGGGUGCAAUCAGACUCAAACAGUACCUCCAGCUGUGGAAGUUACAGCCCCCGCCGGGCGAAGCGGACCGGCGGGACUAUGUAGCCUACGUCCGGGAGGAGCUCGCAAAUGGCCGGGUGCCUAAACAAACUUGGAAACCCCCCCAGCCAAA